rnacentral:rRNA from 1 species
UACGUAGGGGGCAAGCGUUAUCCGGAUUUACUGGGUGUAAAGGGAGCGUAGACGGCAGCGCAAGUCUGGAGUGAAAUCCCAUGGCUUAACCAUGGAACUGCUUUGGAAACUGUGCAGCUGGAGUACAGGAGGGGUAAACGGAAUUUCUAGUGUAGCGGUGAAAUGCGUAGAUAUUAGGAAGAACACCGGAGGCGAAGGCGGUUUACUGGACUGCAACUGACACUGAGGCUCGAAAGCGUGGGGAGCAAACAGG